UAAAAGACGUAGAACAGAAUAAGUAAUUUAGAUGACGCUGAUAGAGAAUCUUUGAUGGUGGAAAUAAGAUAGCAAUUUAAAUGAAAACACAUCUGUGAGUUGGUUUCUUGAAACUCAGUAGAGAGAUCCGGGAUUUAGCCCGUUACAGCUGAAGGUUUAUUAGUAAACUUAUUAAGGCAAUUAAUGUGAGUUAAUUGUGAAGAUGAGGUGGAACCGCGGAUUUCUUCGCCCUCUUA
rnacentral:ncRNA from 1 species